AAUGACGCCGAUGACAGCGACAGCGUCGGCCGAGUGCUUCCCCUGCUCCGGGUCGUCCAGGCACCGGGUCCUCCUUCAGCACUCGCAGCACGCACUGAAGAAGACGCUACGGAAGUCUCCGUUUUCCAGACUCGGGGGAAUUAGGAAACGCGCCCGGCGACCCUCGGGCAGUAGCACCGGGCCAGGUUUGCUUUCGGAACCGCUGACGCCACUCGCCGCCUUUCCCGCCUGGGCCUCUCGCGGGUCGCAGGGGUGGAAGCCCGACCUGGGCCAGGGCCCGGAUUUCUUCCUCCCGGCCUCUGCGCCGCCGCCCCCGGUGCCAGGACGCGCUUUGCUCUCGCCGAGACCCAGACGCGCCGAAAGCCUCGCGCGGGCAGUUCCCCGCCCCACGCCCCGGGCUGCGCGUUCUCCCGCGAAGCCUCUGCCGAGUGCGCGCGACGGCGCCGCCGGACUCCCCCGGACCGCGCUCCCGCGCACGCCUGACCGGAGCACCCCGCUUCACGGGGGCGUUCUGCGCGUCCUUCCUCCCCGGUGCGAUUUCCGUUCUUUUUCCUCUCGCGGUCCCCAGGAGCCCAGGCACCCCUCGACGCCGCUGCCGGCGGAACCGGGAACCCUCCCCGGGGCUCCCUGCGGGCCCGAAGCCGCCUUCCCGAGGCGGCGGAGUUGGGCAGCUCCGGGCCCCGCGCCGCCCCGCGCCGCCCCGCGGAGCCGGAGUUUCUCUCCGGAGUCUGGACACAGCUCUCCGCUUCGUCGCCGCGCACUGGACCCCGGUAGCGUGGAGCCUGCCCGGGAAGCUGGGCUGCGCCGGCCUGGGGCGAAGGUCCAAGGGGCGCGGGGGCCGGGACGCGGGGCUGUGGCGACGACCGGCCCUCUGCGAACGCUCAGGCCGGCGGGUCCGGGGCCACAGGCUGGGAGUGGAGCUGGCGGCCACUGGGGAGUAGAGAGGACGCCCAGGAACAGGUGCACCAGGGUCCCGGCGGCUGGGCCGAGGGUCGCAAGCAGAGGGGACCGGCGGCUGCCAGCAAGUCCCAAGCAGAUGCCUCCGGCGGGGCAGCCGCAUUUUACAGCGCCCAUUCCGCGUACAUCGAGUAUCCAAAACGAGUAAAAUCGGUUUAUACGUUGGAAUGUAGCUUAUGAUUCCAAAAUCUCAUCUCCAGGCUGCCUAGAUCACACGGCCCCGUUUCAUUCAUUUUUACUGAAUAACGGUCGUUGGACAAUUUAGAGAAGCAGCAGAAACCACGAGAAAAACAGUGGAGUCAAACGGCGGUAAGGACCGACAAGGCUGGCGGGGACAUUGAGCAAACGGCGGCUUCUGAGUUGGCACCUGUCCUUCACCACGUUGUGUGGGAAGUGUGGGGAGUCGGGAUUCCCACUCCUCCCCAGCCUUCCGGAAAAAUGCUCGGAAAUUUCCUUCCACAUUGACACCUGAUUACAGUCUAAAUAGUAACCUUAUUCUGAUUGUUAAUGUAACCCUCUCGUAAUCUCUACAAAAAUACUUUAGUUUUUCUAGCUGUGUUUUCAUGUAAUCACUGAAAUUAUUUUUAAUUGGUUUUAAGCAUUCAUUGAUUCCAUUUACACCACCUGCAAAAAAGUUACAUAGGUGAUCGCUAACAAUACUAGAAUUCGCCCCAUCCAAAGGAAACAUUAGAGUAGAAAAAGAAAAAGGAUUUGAGAAUCCAGUAGGAAAUUCAGUUAAUCAUUCCUUCCCUGUUACUCAACUACCUUAACAUUGUCAGGUUUACCUGAACAUAAACUUCAUUUUCUUAAUUGUUCUUAGAACGAAGGGAUAUGUUUAUUGAAAUCAGUAAUUAAGAAUAUUUUGGGACAGUUAUGAUUUACUUAGCCAGUGAAGCAGUUUCUAUUCCCAAAUCCAGGCAAAGAGAACAAUAAGAUUAAACGUAACCUAAGAGAUUUCCUUUUUGUCAAAUAAUGUGAUUUUGCUAUGUAUAGAGGAGAUGUCUAUAUGUAAGGGCAUAUUUAUGACCAGUAGUUCCUAAAAUUAAGGGGACUAUUAUUGUGUUACUCAAGGUAUCAGUUGUAUAGGAUACAUUAUGUCAUAUUUCAAACAAUGUUUAUAAAGAGAUUAGUAUAAUUAACCUGUGUGUACUUCUCCUCUGGGCCAACCUUGUGUCUUCUUUAUCUGCUGACAGUCCUCUCCCCACUGAAUUAUUUUGAAUCAAAUCCCAGAUAGUCUAUCAUUGUAUUGUAUUUUUGAAUAUUUCUCUAAAAGAUAAUAAUUCCAUCAAUGAGACUGGGUGCAGUGGCUCCUCCCUGUAAUCCCAGCUCUUUGGGAGGCAGAGGUUGGAGGAUCACUUUAGGCCAGGAGUUCAAGACCACCCUGAGCAACAUAGCAAGACCCCAUUUAUAAAAAAGAAGAUUCCCAUCAACGUAACCACAAUACCAUUAUCACACCUAAAUAAUCCAUUAAUAGCAUCGGUUUAUCCAGGCAAUAUUUAAAUAUCUUCAAUUGUCUAAAAACUUUUUGUUUAGUUGGUCGGUUUGAAUUAGAAUGCUAAUAAGGGUUACGUAUUGUGUUUGGUUGAUAUGGGCUAUUAUAUCUCUUUUAGAUUUCCUCAAUCCUCUUUUUUUGUUUCCCUUGCAUUUUUUAUGGGAGAAACUGAACGGUUUGUUCUGAAGAAGUUGACAUUCUGGACUUUGUAGCUGCAGGUACAUGGGCUUCUACAAUUUCGUCUAUUUCAUCCUGCAGUUAUUUUCACGGGUCUCUGUGUCCACCACUAUCUGGAAUCUCUGAGAUGGUGAAAACGAAAUCUUAUUCUUCUUUAUAUUUCAAACAAUUCCUAGCACAUUAUCAAAAAUACCUGAUAAAAUUUAUUGUGUCUGUAAUACUGGUAAGCAUGUAAAAUGGUGGUAAAUAUAUAGGCUUUAAGUUUAGAUAGUUCUAAAUAUUAUUAAAAUUACCAAAUUAUUGUUUUUAAAAAGUAUUAGUUUCCUAGGACAAAUAGAGAUUUUUAGAUAAGGCUGGAUUUGUAAUACUUUAAGCAACAGGUCACAGUGCUUAAGUAUUUAAUGCCGAUUUGGCAAGCAGCUGAUGUUUUAUAUAAUGCUGUCGGGUAUUUUAUAUUUGCGUGUAUUUUCUGAUGCACUGGAUCCAGCACUUCAUGUCACGUCAUAUAUCUGUUUAUAAUGUAUACAAAUGUAUUUUCAUAUAUAUUUGAUGUUUGAUGGCUUUGAAACUUUAAUCUUGAAAUAGGUUUUAAAUUUUUAUUAAAACUAUUUAAAUAAUUACUGUAAGGAAAGAGCUCUUAUUAGUUGAAAGAAAAUGUAGAUUCAUGUUUCCUUGGAGACUAGUCUAGUUUCCAAGGAUAGACGGCAGUGAGGAGUCGGGUAUCUAGAUGGAAUUUCUGUUGGUUUGGAUUCCAGCUCUGCUGCUUACCAGCUUUGUGACCUCAGGCAAACAACUUAACCUCUCCAAGCCUCAAUUUCCCCAUCUAUAUAAUGGUGAUAUUUAUAAGUUUCACCUUAUAGGGCCACGGUGGGGAUUCCAUGAAAUAGUGUAUGUGAAGUGCUUAGCACAGUGCCUGGCACAUACUCAAUGCUCUAUGCAUGUCAGCUAGUACUUAAUGAUGCUAAUAAACAUGUUAUGUCCCUAAGCACGGGUGGGAUCUUGCCUGACGUCCUUCUCUCUGCGUCCUGGUCAGUCUUCACAUGGUGGGCAUCCUUUAUUUCCGGUCACACACGGGUGGUACACAGAGCAUGCUGUUUCUUUCGUGCCAGAAGGUUCCCGCUGCAGCUCUCCUGCUAGUUUAGCUUAGCCUUCUGGUUUGAGGGAUGAGUCACAUGUACCAUCACUUCCCAGGACCAACAGGACCUUUCAGGAAAGCUAUCCCCUGCUUACACAGAGAAUUGCCCUUGCCUAACACUGAAGCCUGGCAGAGUAACAUGAAAUAACCACAGCAAUUCUAAAAUUAGAAUUAGCACGCCUAGAAUAACAGGUAUAACCUUCUCUUGUACUUUAUCACUUGCUUCAUUUCUGCUCAGCCUAAUUUUCACUUGAUGUGUAGAUUUAUUUUUUGUUCACCCAUCCAGAAAAUGUUGACUGAGGAAUUACUCUGUGUUAGGCGCUGUUGUAGGAGCAAGGUAUACAAUGAUGAUCAAGGCAGAUGCAGCCCUUACCUUCAGGUCGUGGAGUCCGGAUACAGACUGGAGGCAGAGGCAGCUGUAAGAUGUGUGACAAAUGCUGCGCUGGAUCAGCCCAUGGUAUUAGGAGAGCAGGUAAGGAAGGGUGGGGACGGGAGCGGACAACCUGGAGGAAGAGGCAGCUAAGCAGAGUCCGGAAGGCUGAGGAGGAGUCAGCAGGUGAAAGAGAGGGAAUCAUGACAUGCCAUCUCAACUGUAGGGCACGGCUAGCUGGCUGACUUAGCUGCUGUAACACCGGAUUUUUGCAAGACUCCCUGAGUAUUUCUCGUGGACUUGCGAACAAAUCUGAGCAAGAAAACCACGUAAUUUCUUUUAUGCCCUGCCCAAGAAAGCCACCUGGAGGGGCAAGGCGACCUUAGCAGAAAGAAGCUGGAGGUGGGGGGAGAGCAGGGUGAUGUUACUCUCCGUAUGGUGGGGGGUGGACACCUCCCUGUCACAUGGCUCGUAAUAUCCAGCGGGGGAGAGGGGGUUGACUUUCCCCUACGUUAUUGGUAAUAUCACCUCCCUCUCUCCCGCUAAAUAUUAAGUACAAUAUCACAGGUGGGGCGUACACCCCCGGCGAUGUUUGAAGUAACAUCAACUUCUCCCCCUCUGGAUGUUAGAAACAAUAUCACAGGGGGGUGAACACCCCCCCUGCGAUCCUGGGAGUGACAUCAUCCUCUUUCCCCCGGAUAUUAGGAACAAUAUCACAGAAGGUGUUUACAACUUUUGCAAUGUUGGGAGUAAUAUCAUCCUCUCUCACCCUGGAUAUUCAGAACAACAUCACAUGGGAAUUGUACCCUUCUGUUUAUUGAGAGUAAUAUCAUCCUCUCCCUUUCUGUAUAUUAGAAACAAUAUCACAGAGGGCUGUGUACACCCCCAGGAAUGCUUUGAGUAAUAUUAUCCUCUCUCUGCCUGGAUAUUUGGAACAAUAUGACAGGAGUUGUGUACACCCACUGUGAUAUUCGGUUUAAUAUCAACCUCUAUCCCCUGGAUAUUGGGAGUAAUAUCUAUCUUUAGCCCCUGGAUACUAGGGACAAUAUCACAGGAGCGGUGUAUACACACGGCGCUAUUGGGAGUAAUAUCAUUUUCUCCACCGCUUGAUAUUAGGGACAAUAUAACAGUGGGGACGUGCACCCCCUGGGAUAUUGGGAGUAAUAUUAAUCUCUUCCCCUGUGGAUGUUAGGAACAAUAUCACAGAAGGGGUGUAUACCCCCAGCGAUAUUGGGAGUAAGAUCAUCCUCUCCCAACUUGGAUAUUAGGAACAAUAUCACAGGGGAAGUGUAUAACCCCUGCGAUAUUGUGAGUAAUAUCAUCCUCUCCCAAAAGGGAGAUUAGGAACAAUAUCACAGGAAAGGUGUACACCUCUUCUGAUAUUUGGGGUAAUAUCAUCUCCUCCCCUCAUUGAUAUUAGGAACGAUAUCACAAGGUGCGUACAGCCCCUGCGAUAUUGGGAGUAAUAUUAUUCUCUCUUCCCCUGGAUAUUAGAAAUAAUAUCACAGGCGGAGUGUACAGCCAACCCCCUGCGAUAUUGGGGGUAAUAUCAUCCUCUUUUAACCUGGAUAUUAGGAACAAUAUCACAGGGGGCUUGUACACUUCUUUUGAUACUGGGAGUAAUAUCAUCCUCUCCACAAGUAAAUAGUAGGAAAAAUAUCAAAGAAGGUGUGUACACCGCUUGUGAUAUUGGGAGUAAUAUC
rnacentral:lncRNA from 1 species